AGAGUUUGAUCCUGGCUCAGGACGAACGCUGGCGGCGUGCUUAACACAUGCAAGUCGAACGAAAAGACGGGAAGAGCUUGCUCUUUCCGGAAUUGAGUGGCAAACGGGUGAGUAACACGUAAACAACCUGCCUUCAGGAUGGGGACAACAGACGGAAACGACUGCUAAUACCGAAUAAGUUCCAAGAGCCGCAUGGCCCAUGGAAGAAAAGGUGGCCUCUACCUGUAAGCUAUCGCCUGAAGAGGGGUUUGCGUCUGAUUAGCUGGUUGGAGGGGUAACGGCCCACCAAGGCGACGAUCAGUAGCCGGUCUGAGAGGAUGAACGGCCACACUGGAACUGAGACACGGUCCAGACUCCUACGGGAGGCAGCAGUGGGGAAUCUUCCGCAAUGGGCGAAAGCCUGACGGAGCAACGCCGCGUGAGUGAUGACGGCCUUCGGGUUGUAAAACUCUGUGAUCCGGGACGAAAAGGCAGAGUGCGAAGAACAAACUGCAUUGACGGUACCGGAAAAGCAAGCCACGGCUAACUACGUGCCAGCAGCCGCGGUAAUACGUAGGUGGCAAGCGUUGUCCGGAAUUAUUGGGCGUAAAGCGCGCGCAGGCGGCUUCCCAAGUCCCUCUUAAAAGUGCGGGGCUUAACCCCGUGAUGGGAAGGAAACUGGGAAGCUGGAGUAUCGGAGAGGAAAGUGGAAUUCCUAGUGUAGCGGUGAAAUGCGUAGAGAUUAGGAAGAACACCGGUGGCGAAGGCGACUUUCUGGACGAAAACUGACGCUGAGGCGCGAAAGCGUGGGGAGCAAACAGGAUUAGAUACCCUGGUAGUCCACGCCGUAAACG
rnacentral:rRNA from 2 species